UCGUCCGGGGACAUGGAUUUAUUGUGAGGUACUAAGCAAGAUGGCAUUUAGUUGUCAUUCGUUGUAUGUAUAUAGGUGAAGGAACAAGUAAUAGGGUAUCUCUCAGUCGGAUUUAACUCCAGAGAACCUAUCGGAUAUAACUUCUGUCGUUACACUUCUUCAACAACCAGCUUGAUCAAUGUAAAACAAAAUACCUCUCUAAUGAUUAUGUCGUAGAGACGGUCGAAACGUGGAUCUUCACCUCGAGGGGGCCCAAUUGGUGAUAGUGGAUCAGAUCGAGUGGGUAGAUAACGAGCAUCAACUCCCCAACUUGAGCCGGACGAUGAUG